rnacentral:rRNA from 1 species
CAGUCGCCGCGGGAAAACGGAGGGUGCAAGCGUUAAUCGGAAUUACUGGGCGCAAAGCGUGCGUAGGCGGUUCGUUAAGUCUGUUGUGAAAGCCCCGGGCUCAACCUGGGAAUGGCAAUGGAUACUGGCGAGCUAGAGUGUGUCAGAGGAUGGUGGAAUUCCCGGUGUAGCGGUGAAAUGCGUAGAGAUCGGGAGGAACAUCAGUGGCGAAGGCAGCCCCCUGGGCCAAUACUGACGCUCAUGCACGAAAGCGUGGGGAGCAAACAGGAUUAGAUACCCCUGUAGUCCCUGUCUCUUAUAA